GAGCGUUGAAAAGCUCGGGGAUGACUUGUGGGUAGCGGUGAAAUUCCAAUCGAGCCCGGAGAUAGCUGGUUCUCCCCGAAAUAGCUUUAGGGCUAGCCUCAAGGGGAGAGAUACGGAGGUAGAGCACUGAAUGUCCUAGGGGGUAUUGCACCUACCGAAGACUAUCAAACUCCGAAUGCCGUCAUCUUAUACUUGGGAGUCAGACUGUGG
rnacentral:rRNA from 1 species